rnacentral:rRNA from 1 species
CCCUUAGAUGUUCUGGGCCGCACGCGUGCUACACUGAGUGGAUCAGCGGGUCAGGUUGCGCGAAAGCGUUUCCUAAUCUUUAAAUCCGCUCGCGAUGGGGAUUGACGGUUGCAAUUUUCUGUCAUGAACGAGGAAUACCUUGUAAGCGCGGGUCAUCAUCCCGCGCUGAAUACGUCCCUGCCCUUUGUACACACCGCCCGUCGCUCCUACCGAUUGGAUGGUCCGGUGAAGCCUCGGGAUUGUGGUUCUUGCCGCUUUAUUGUGGCGUGACCGCGAGAACUUGUCUAAACCUUAUCAUCUAGAGGAAGGUGAAGUCGUAACA